AGGACUAACGCUGGCGGCGUGCCUAACACAUGCAAGUCGAACGGGGGUAGCAAUACCCCCAGUGGCAGACGGGUGAGUAACACGUGGUCAACCUACCUCUGUGUGGGGGAUAACUAGCCGAAAGGUUAGCUAAUACCGCAUACGAUCGUUUUGAGGCAUCUCGAGACGAUGAAAGGAGCAAUCCGCACGGAGAGGGGACUGCGUCCCAUUAGUUAGUUGGUGGGGUAACGGCCUACCAAGACUCCGAUGGGUAGCUGGCUUGAGAGAGCGACCAGCCACACUGGAACUGAGACACGGUCCAGACUCCUACGGGAGGCAGCAGUGAGGAAUUUUCCGCAAUGGGCGAAAGCCUGACGGAGCGACGCCGCGUGUGGGAUGGAAGGCCGUUCGGGUCGUAAACCACUGUCGAAGGGGACGAUAUUGGCGGUACCCGUUGGAGGAAGCCCCGGCUAACGUACGUGCCAGCAGCCGC
rnacentral:rRNA from 1 species